AGGGAMUUGAACGCAUAUUGCGCCUUUGGGAUAUCCCCGAAGGCACGCCUGCUUCAGUGUCUAUG
rnacentral:rRNA from 1 species